AUAACAGUUACAUAGAAAUAUUUAAACAGUAAAGGUACAUUUAGCUUUUUGCUAGUUUCCAAGUAUGUCCCACACUCUAGAUGCAGUUACUACCCAACCAAAUGUUCAAGGUUUUCUUGAUUUGCUUCUUGAGAAGAAUAAAAUAAUGAAUUAACAGGUGACAAUGAAAUACUGCAGCUGGAGUUCGACCCACUGAGCUAACUCUGGUAAACUGGUGAGCUAGCCCAUUUGAUUAAAGCAAUAGUUAUAGGAACUUUUUAAACAUCAUGGUCAUUGAUGGCCUAACGCGGC